rnacentral:rRNA from 1 species
GACAGAGGGUGCAAACGUUGUUCGGAAUUACUGGGCGUAAAGCGCGUGUAGGCGGCCAUGCAAGUCGGAUGUGAAAGCCCUCGGCUCAACCGGGGAAGUGCACUCGAAACUGCAAGGCUAGAGUCUCGGAGAGGAUCGUGGAAUUCUCGGUGUAGAGGUGAAAUUCGUAGAUAUCGGGAGGAACACCUGUGGCGAAGGCGGCUUUCUGGGCCUUACCUGACGCUGAGACGCGAAAGCGUGGGGAGCGAACCGG